ACGACCAUGGAAACCCUUUUCAGAGUCUCACUUCGUCUUCUCCCGGUUUGUCACGGCGCAAUCCGUUUCCCCGUUUCCCCGUUUCAACACCCGGUUCCUCCCACUUGCUGAACCGUAGUCUGUAUAAGUUCUCUUCUUCUUCGGCUUCCUCCUCUGUGAAGACAAAUGCAGGUUGGCUGUUGGGUCUGGGGGACAAGAAGAAGAAGCCAACGAAUAUACCGGAUAUCGUAGCGGCUGGAGAUCCGGUUCUGCACGAGAAGGCCCGAGAGGUUGACCCGGAUGAAAUCGGGUCGGAGCGUAUUCACAAGAUAAUUGAUGAUAUGGUCAAAGUUAUGAGAUUGGCUCCUGGUGUUGGCCUCGCCGCUCCUCAGAUUGGUAUCCCCUUAAGAAUUAUUGUUUUGGAAGAUACUAAAGAGUAUAUAAGUUACGCACCAAAGGAGGAGGUUCUUGCUCAAGAAAGGCGUCCUUUUGAUCUCUUGGUGAUGGUGAAUCCGGAGCUUAAGGGGGUUAGCAACAAGAAAGCUCUCUUCUUUGAAGGAUGUCUGAGUGUGGAUGGAUUCAGAGGUGCGGUGGAGAGAUACCUUGAAGUGGAAGUCACAGGCUACGAUCGUCAAGGGAAGAGAAUCGAAGUGAAUGCUUCAGGUUGGCAAGCGAGGAUUCUGCAGCACGAGUGCGAUCAUUUGGAUGGUAAUCUUUAUGUGGAUAAGAUGAUACCACGCACUUUUAGGACAGUCGACAACUUGGACUUGCCUCUCGCAGAAGGCUGUCCUAAACUCGGGCCUCAAUGACCCAGACAGACGGAUUCUUCGACAGAAGUUUGUUAAUGUAAUUUUUGAUUCUUAAACAUGGGAGCUUAAUAUAAAAAAAAAAAACAUGGGAGCUUAAUAUAAAAAGUUUUUUGGGAUUUAAGAUUUUUUUUAUUCAUUUACGAUAAGACCACACCACAAAUUAAGACAGCUAUUUAAUAGUUGGAAAUGAGUCAUCUCGCUCGAUCUGAAAAAGACACGGCGGCGAAGGCGUGAAAUGCGGCGGUGAAAUGGCCCCUCAGAUCAACCAAAUAUAAAACUAGAGCUUAAAUUUAAGUUAAUUAAACAAUAAAUAAAAAGGAAAGAUCUAAUCACAGCCGUCCGUUUUCCAAUCAACGGACAAACCCAUGCCGGGAAUUUUAUCUCUGGAACACACUUCAAUCUAAAAUUCGGACAGAGAUUGUGGAACGAACCCAUGUCGGAAAGUCGGUUUGAUUUAUACAGAAAUUAUAUCUUGAUAGCUAAUUUACAAAUCACCCAGAAAAAAUCAUAAGUAUCACAAUCUAUAAAGCUUAACCGGAGGAAAUCCAGAAGAGAAAUAAAGAUUGUAUCAGAGAGCCACACAGAGAAAUACAAAAAAAAAAGAAGAAGA